UCCCGCAACGAGCGCAACCCUUAUCCUUUGUUGCCAGCGAUUAGGUCGGGAACUCAAAGGAGACUGCCAGUGAUAAACUGGAGGAAGGUGGGGAUGACGUCAAGUCAUCAUGGCCCUUACGACCAGGGCUACACACGUGCUACAAUGGCGCAUACAAAGAGAAGCGACCUCGCGAGAGCAAGCGGACCUCAUAAAGUGCGUCGUAGUCCGGAUUGGAGUCUGCAACUCGACUCCAUGAAGUCGGAAUCGCUAGUAAUCGUGGAUCAGAAUGCCACGGUGAAUACGUUCCCGGGCCUUGUACACACCGCCCGUCACACCAUGGGAGUGGGUUGCAAAAGAAGUAGGUAGCUUAACCUUCGGGAGGGCGCUUACCACUUUGUGAUUCAUGACUGGGGUGAAGUCGUAACAAGGUAACCGUAGGGGAACCUGCGGUUGGAUCACCUCCUUACCUUAAAGAA
rnacentral:rRNA from 3 species